AGCAGCCGCGGUAAUUCCAGCUCCAAUAGCGUAUAUUAAAGUUGUUGCAGUUAAAAAGCUCGUAGUUGAAUUUCGGGGUUAGUAGGUUGGUCGUGCCACUGGUACGUACUGGUCUCACUGAUUCCUCCCUCCUGAUGAACUGUAAUGCCAUUAAUUUGGUAUUGCAGGGAAACUGGACUGUUACUUUGAAAAAAUUAGAGUGUUUAAAGCAAGCUAACGCUUGAAUACAUUAGCAUGGAAUAAUGAAAUAGGACGUUCGAUCCUAUUUUGUUGGUUUCUAGGAUUGACGUAAUGAUUAAUAGGGAUAGUUGGGGGCAUUAGUAUUCAAUUGUCAGAGGUGAAAUUCUUGGAUUUAUUGAAGACUAACUACUGCGAAAGCAUUUGCCAAGGAUGUUUUCAUUAAUCAAGAACGAAAGUUAGGGGAUCGAAGACGAUCAGAUACCGUCGUAGUCUUAACCAUAAACUAUGCCGACUAGGAAUCAGACGAUGUUAAUUUUUUAAUGACUCGUUUGGCACCUUA
rnacentral:rRNA from 1 species